AUGGCAUUGAAACACUCAACAAACUGCCCACACAGAACGUGGGGUUAAAACUUACAGAUGUACUGGAGGCUGUGAACAAGUGAUUCAGUGGCCUUCUCUCUGAGCCUCUACUGUGUCACCACCAUGUUCCAUGCUAGGUACAAGGACCGCUACGUCUUUAACAGGCAUUCUCUCUGAGCCUCUUUACUGUGUCACCACCAUGCUCCAUGCUAGGUACAAGGACCUCUACGUCUUUAACAGGCAUUCUCUCUGAGCCUCUUUACUGUGUCACCUCCAUGCUCCAUGCUAGGUACAAGGACCGCUACGUCUUUAACAGGCAUUCUCUCUGAGCCUCUUUACUGUGUCACCACCAUGCUCCAUGCGAGGUACAAGGACCGCUACGUCUUUAACAGGCAUUCUCUCUGAGCCUCUACUGUGUCACCACCAUGUUCCAUGCGAGGUACAAGGACCGCUACGUCUUUAACAGGCAUUCUCUCUGAGCCUCUACUGUGUCACCACCAUGCUCCAUGCUAGGUACAAGGACCGCUACGUCUUUAACAGGCAUUCUCUCUGAGCCUCUACUGUGUCACCACCAUGCUCCAUGCGAGGUACAAGGACCGCUACUUCUUUAACAGGCAUUCUCUCUGAGCCUCUUUACUGUGUCACCACCAUGCUCCAUGCGAGGUACAAGGACCGCUACUUCUUUAACAGGCAUUCUCUCUGAGCCUCUUUACUGUGUCACCACCAUGCUCCAUGCUAGGUACAAGGACCGCUACUUCUUUAACAGGCAUUCUCUCUGAGCCUCUUUACUGUGUCACCACCAUGCUCCAUGCUAGGUACAAGGACCGCUACGUCUUUAACAGGCAUUCUCUCUGAGCCUCUACUGUGUCACCACCAUGCUCCAUGCGAGGUACAAGGACCGCUACUUCUUUAACAGGCAUUCUCUCUGAGCCUCUUUACUGUGUCACCACCAUGCUCCAUGCGAGGUACAAGGACCGCUACGUCUUUAACAGGCAUUCUCUCUGAGCCUCUUUACUGUGUCACCACCAUGCUCCAUGCGAGGUACAAGGACCGCUACGUCUUUAACAGGCAUUCUCUCUGAGCCUCUUUACUGUGUCACCACCAUGCUCCAUGCGAGGUACAAGGACCGCUACGUCUUUAACAGGCAUUCUCUCUGAGCCUCUACUGUGUCACCACCAUGCUCCAUGCGAGGUACAAGGACCGCUACUUCUUUAACAGGCAUUCUCUCUGAGCCUCUUUACUGUGUCACCACCAUGCUCCAUGC